rnacentral:rRNA from 1 species
UGAAGUUGGAGUUGCUAGUAAUCGCGGAUCAGCAUGCCGCGGUGAAUACGUUCCCGGGCCUUGUACACACCGCCCGUCACACCAUGGGAGUUGGGAGCGCCCGAAGCCGGUGAGGUAACCGCAAGGAGCCAGCCGUCGAAGGUGAGACCAACGACUGGGGUGAAGUCGUAACAAGGUACC